rnacentral:tRNA from 1 species
GCCCUCGUGGUGUAGUGGUCAGCACGCUCGACGCGUAUUCGAGAGGUCCAUGGUUCGAGUCCUGGCGAGGGCA